rnacentral:rRNA from 1 species
CCUACGGGAGGCUGCAGUGGGGAAUAUUGGUCAAUGGGCGCAAGCCUGACCCAGCAAUGCCGCGUGAAGGAAGAAGGCUUUCGGGUUUUAAACUUCUUUUACACGGGAAGAGCAGAAGACGUUACCCUCAAAACAAGCCACGGCUAACUACGUGCCAGCAGCCGCGGUAAUACGUAGGUGGCACGCGUUGUCCGGAUUUACUGGGUGUACAGGGCGUGUAGCCGGGAAGGCAAGUCAGAUGUGAAAUCCGGAGGCUCAACCUCCGCAUUGCAUUUGAAACUGUUUUUCUUGAGGACUGGCGAGGCAGACGGAAUGCAUUGUGUAGCGGUGAAAUGCGUAGAUAUAAGGAGGAACACCAGUGGCGAAGGCGGUCUGCUGGACAGCAACUGACGGUGAGGCGCGAAAGCGUGGGGAGCAAACAGGAUUAGAGACCCUAGUAGUC